rnacentral:rRNA from 1 species
UGGGGAAUUUUGGACAAUGGGGGCAACCCUGAUCCAGCCAUUCCGCGUGAGUGAAGAAGGCCUUCGGGUUGUAAAGCUCUUUCGGCAGGGAAGAAACGGCUACGGCGAAUACCCGUGGCUAAUGACGGUACCUGAAGAAGAAGCACCGGCUAACUACGUGCCAGCAGCCGCGGUAAUACGUAGGGUGCGAGCGUUAAUCGGAAUUACUGGGCGUAAAGCGUGCGCAGGCGGUUUUGUAAGACAGAUGUGAAAUCCCCGGGCUUAACCUGGGAACUGCGUUUGUGACUGCAAGACUCGAGUGCGGCAGAGGGGGGUGGAAUUCCACGUGUAGCAGUGAAAUGCGUAGAGAUGUGGAGGAACACCGAUGGCGAAGGCAACCCCCUGGGUCGACACUGACGCUCAUGCACGAAAGCGUGGGGAGCAAACAGGAUUAGAUACCCGGGUAGUCC